GUAUGCGAUCAUACCAGCACURAUACACAGUAGAUCCCRWUYCCCAUCAGAACUCCGCAGUUAAGCGUGCUUGGGCGAAUAUUGUACUAGGAUGGGUGACCUCCCGGGAAGUCCUCGUGUUGCAUCCC
rnacentral:rRNA from 1 species